GAUGAACGCUGGCGGCGUGCCUAAUACAUGCAAGUCGAGCGAACAGAUAAGGAGCUUGCUCCUUUGACGUUAGCGGCGGACGGGUGAGUAACACGUGGGUAACCUACCUAUAAGACUGGGAUAACUUCGGGAAACCGGAGCUAAUACCGGAUAAUAUUUCGAACCGCAUGGUCCGAUAGUGGAAGAUGGUUUUGCUAUCACUUAUAGAUGGACCCGCGCCGUAUUAGCUAGUUGGUAAGGUAACGGCUUACCAAGGCGACGAUACGUAGCCGACCUGAGAGGGUGAUCGGCCACACUGGAACUGAGACACGGUCCAGACUCCUACGGGAGGCAGCAGUAGGGAAUCUUCCGCAAUGGGCGAAAGCCUGACGGAGCAACGCCGCGUGAGUGAUGAAGGUCUUCGGAUCGUAAAACUCUGUUAUUAGGGAAGAACAUACGUGUAAGUAACUGUGCACGUCUUGACGGUACCUAAUCAGAAAGCCACGGCUAACUACGUG
rnacentral:rRNA from 1 species